UAAGCGAAUAGUGAAAUCUGACGGCUCAACCGUACAGACUGUUAUUCGAACUGGCAAACUCGAGAAUGGUAGAGGUAACUGGAAUUUCUGAAGUAGGGGUAAUAUCCGUAGAUAUCAGAAGGAACACCAAUGGCGUAGGCAGGUUACUGGACCAUUUCUGACACUGAGGCACGAAAGCGUGGGGAGCGAACCGGAUUAGAUACCCGGGUAGUCCACGCCGUAAACGAUGGAUACUA
rnacentral:rRNA from 1 species